UACGGAGGGUGCGAGCGUUGUCCGGAUUUAUUGGGUUUAAAGGGUGCGUAGGUGGCUUGUUAAGUCAGUGGUGAAAUACAGCCGCUCAACGGUUGAGGUGCCAUUGAUACUGACAAGCUUGAAACAAGUGGAGGUUGCCGGAAUGGAUGGUGUAGCGGUGAAAUGCAUAGAUAUCAUCCAGAACACCGAUUGCGAAGGCAGGUGACUACGUUUUGAUUUUGACACUGAGGCACGAAAAGCAUGGGGGAGCAAAACAGG
rnacentral:rRNA from 1 species